rnacentral:rRNA from 1 species
AACAAACGCUGGCGGCGUGCCUAAUACAUGCAAGUCGAGCGAAUCUCAGGGAGCUUGCUCCCUGAGAUUAGCGGCGGACGGGUGAGUAACACGUGGGUAACCUGCCUGUAAGACUGGGAUAACUUCGGGAAACCGGAGCUAAUACCGGAUACUUUCUUUUCUCGCAUGAGGGAAGAUGGAAAGAUGGUUCUGCUAUCACUUACAGAUGGACCCGCGGCGCAUUAGCUAGUUGGUGAGGUAACGGCUCACCAAGGCGACGAUGCGUAGCCGACCUGAGAGGGUGAUCGGCCACACUGGGACUGAGACACGGCCCAGACUCCUACGGGAGGCAGCAGUAGGGAAUCUUCCGCAAUGGACGAAAGUCUGACGGAGCAACGCCGCGUGAGCGAAGAAGGCCUUCGGGUCGUAAAGCUCUGUUGUUAGGGAAGAACAAGUACGAGAGUAACUGCUCGUACCUUGACGGUACCUAACCAGAAAGCCACGGCUAACUACGUGCCAGCCGCCGCCGUAAUAC